GGUAAUUUUCCGCAAUGGGCGAAAGCCUGACGGAGCAAUACCGCGUGAGGGACGAAGGCUUUUGGGUCGUAAACCUCUUUUCCCUGAGAAGAAGAUCUGACGGUAUCAGGGGAAUCAGCAUCGGCUAACUUCGUGCCAGCAGCCGCGGUAAUACGAGGGAUGCAAGCGUUAUCCGGAAUUAUUGGGCGUAAAGCGUCCGCAGGUGGCUCUGUAAGUCUGUCGUUAAAGAAUGGGGCUCAACCCCAUACAGGCGAUGGAAACUACAAGGCUAGAGUUUGGUAGGGGUCACGGGAAUUCCUAGUGUAGCGGUGAAAUGCGUAGAUAUUAGGAAGAACACCAGCGGCGAAAGCGCGUGACUGGGCCAGUACUGACACUCAUGGACGAAAGCUAGGGGAGCGAAAGGGAUUAGAUACCCCUGUAGUCCUAGCCGUAAACGAUGAUAACUAGGUGUUGCCCGUAUCGACCCGGGCAGUGCCGUAGCCAACGCGUUAAGUUAUCCG
rnacentral:rRNA from 1 species